rnacentral:rRNA from 1 species
CCUACGGGAGGCAGCAGUGGGGAAUAUUGGGCAAUGGAGGAAACUCUGACCCAGCGACGCCGCGUGAGGGAUGAAGGCCUUCGGGUUGUAAACCUCUUUCAGUAGGGAAGAAGCGAAAGUGACGGUACCUACAGAAGAAGCACCGGCUAACUAUGUGCCAGCAGCCGCGGUGAUACAUAGGGUGCAAGCGUUGUCCGGAAUUAUUGGGCGUAAAGAGCUCGUAGGUGGUUCGAUACGUCGGAUGUGAAAAUCAGGGGCUCAACCCCUGACCUGCAUCCGAUACGGUCGAGCUAGAGUUUGGUAGGGGAGACUGGAAUUCCUGGUGUAGCGGUGGAAUGCGCAGAUAUCAGGAGGAACACCGAUGGCGAAGGCAGGUCUCUGGGCCAAUACUGACACUGAGGAGCGAAAGCGUGGGGAGCGAACAGGAUUAGAUACCCUGGUAGUCCACGCCGUAAACGGUGGGCGCUAGUUGUGCGAACCUUCCACGGUUUGUGCGACGCAGCUAACGCAUUAAGCGCCCCGCCUGGGGAGUACGAUCGCAAGAUUAAAACUCAAAUGAAUUGACGG